rnacentral:lncRNA from 1 species
AAACGAAUGGCGAAAAGAAAAGUAGAUUCCGUUUCACAGAAUUAGAAAGAAUAAAAGUUCUGGAAGAGUUUUUUAAUCAAGCACUUCGACGUCGUCCAUAUAUUUUCUAACCACAGCCUCGAUUUUGGAUAGUUUUAUAACAUAACUUAUCCUACGAAACAUAACCGCCGCAAACGUCUUCAGCGCCGUCUACCGUAUGUGUUUUAUAAGUGUAUAAGCGUAUACGGAAAACACCAUGCGCAAACUCUAUAAUAAGAUUUUUAAGAGAGACCCUAUAAAUGUUAACGUUUCUUUUUUAUGUUAUAAAAUAUAUCAGUAAAUAAUCAAUUAUUGUCUUGCAGUAGUAUGCAGCCUAAAUUUCAAUCCAAUUUCACGAUUCCGCAAAGCAAAUUUGUAUCCCAAGUCAAUUGUGAUGCAGCCAUUUGUUUAUUCUUCGAUAUGACAUUCUCAGAGGAUACACAAGAAGAAUUAUCAAUACCUUAUGCGAUAUGUGAAAUCACAAUGAAUAUACAGGAUCUGGAUGUGAUCAGAUCGAUUUCCAUGCGAAUUUUUAACAUAAUUUAUAUUAAAGUAGAUUAAGUAUCUUUUAAUUAUUUCUUGAUAUACGAUUUAUGGGUAAUAUGUAAUAGUAUGAAAAUUGAUAAAAUAUAUGAAUAUAUUAUAAAUGCUAUGUUUAUUCAUUUUCUUUAAAAUUAUUUCUUACUAAUGAAUUAGGGUGAUAAUAGAGAAUAGGAUAUUCCUAUUUCCAGUUCUUAUUAUAAAACUUUUCAAAAAACAGUUUUUUAAGAAAUGUUUUCAUUCCAAUAUUAUAAAAUUU